UUUCCCGCCCUCCUGUUCACUCCAUCUGCUGACACACUGGCCUUCUUGUUUUGCCAACCUGACAAGCUCAUCUUCGCACAGGCUCAUUUUCACCUCUUUUGCUGAUCUCUGCUUGUAGUGCUCUUUUCUGAGAUCUUCUCUUCCAAGUUCUAGUUCAAAUGUAGCCUCUCUAGAGCAGCCUUCACUGCCCUGCCGUUCUUUAUUUGGCCACACCUCGACAUGUGGGAUCUCAGUUCCCCGACCAAGGACUGAACCCAUGCCCCCUGCCGUGGAAGCACGGAGUCCUAACCACUGGACUGCCAGGGAAGUCCCUGCCCUGCCCUUCUAAAGGCACCCAUCCAUCCCAUUCCUUUAUAGCCUGUUACCGUUUUUAUUACCUGUACAUUAUUCUGUCUCAUCCGCUAGGAGCAGGGUCCACAAGGCCAAGGACCUUGACUGUCCUCUCACCAUGCUUCCAACACAUACAACUGAGCAUGGGCUGGGGAAACGUUCACUGAAUGAAUCAAUGGGAGUCCCUUGAUGCCUCAAUCACUUGGAUGUGAGGGCCAUCGAGUGUUCCAGGGUUCCCAUGGCAGUAUGACCCGAGCUCCCUGGGCCCCGUACUACUCUGGGCCUUCAUUAGAACAAUGAGCCACGUCUCCAUCCAUGCUUCCCGUCCAGACCGCAAUCUCAAGGGUCCAGCCCAAGUGGGGGUCAUUCUCCUCUGUCCAUGCCUGGCACAGAAUACCAGUGGAUUUUCUAAACGGAAAGAAAAAAGAAGUAGAUGGAAAAAAAAAGUGGAUGGAAGCAUAUUAAAAUGAUAGAAGC